CUUUACAUCUGGCAACGUCCAUAUAAAAAUCGAUGCAUUCUUCUAUUUUGCCAGCUUUAUAAUGAACAAAUUAAUUUUAGUCUGCUGAAAAUCUUUAUAAAAAAAGACAUGUAAAUAGUGCACACUCCACCUUUGAAUUUGUAAUCUGCUGCCAGACUGAUUUUUGCUAAUGCAUGCCAAGACCUGAAAAUCUGGGCAAUCUUGUCAUGGUGGGUGUAUUUGUGACGACAUACAGGGUUCAUUUUUGUAAACAUCCUACACUCAGCUCUAAAGGUCUGAAAUGGCUGGGAGGGGGGUGUUUACCUCAAUUGACCUGAAAAAACUGCAGGCGCUUGUUAAAGUUGAUGACAAGCAAACUGAGAUGUAAAAUCUAACUGGGCCAUUUGUUUGCAAUCAAUGUCUGGUACAAUUGUUUUCUGGUAUUCUUAAACUUCUCUAGAUCUGUCACUUUGACCCUCAAUAGUGCGCCUUUGCAUCAUUGGAUGACAGCGCAACGGGAACAUUUUGACACGGUCCAUUAUUUCCCAUGACCUUCUCCACGGUAGUAAGAUUUAAUGGCUAUUCAGAAUGCUUUAUAGCGGUUUCAUACAGUAACAUUUAUAACUGUACCUCUUCUACACUUGCAAGUAAAUAAAGUUUUCCUUUUUGUAUUUGCUAUCCAAAGUCUUUCUAUUGGGUUAAGAGGGGAAUGUUAAUCCAUUCUUUUUUUAGUUAUACGGUAUUAUAAAGCUGCAAUUAAUCCCUCAG